rnacentral:pre_miRNA from 1 species
UGGAAGACUUGUGAUUGUGUUGUUUCCGACAUGUGAAGUGAACAACACGUCCGAGUCUCCGCC